UAACUGCCCUCAAGGGAUGCAUCCUCACUGUUUUGGUAGCCAUGGACAAGAAAGCAGACAUGGAAGCGAUGGUAGCCACCGUGAAAGCCAUUGUGAUUUUGGUGGCUCUGGGCGUAUGUAGAGGCCAUGAAGCCCAUGUUGGCAUGUCUAUAGACACCAUGGUGACCAUGAGAGAUGUGGAUUAAUCUUGCUGUUUGCUGCUCCGCCGCUCACACCCCACAGCCAGUAUCUCGAAGGCAUGAUGUUACCAUAGAGAACACUUCACGUGCUCCAUCACCUUGAGGUGCUCCCGUACUCC
rnacentral:lncRNA from 1 species